GACGAACGCUGGCGGCGCGCUUAACACAUGCAAGUCGGACGGGAGCGUGUGUGCUUAGCACAUACGCUCCAGUGGCGGACGGGUGCGUAACACGUGAGUGACCUACCCGGAUGCGGGGGACAACCUGGGGAAACCCGGGCUAAUCCCGCAUGGUCCCUUUGAGCUGCAUGGCUUGGGGGGGAAAGGUGCUGGGGGUUUCCCUGGCACUGUAUUCGGAGGGGCUCGCGGCGUAUCAGCUGGUUGGUGGGGUAACGGCUCACCAAGGCGACGACGCGUAGGGGGUCUGAGAGGAUGGCCCCCCACAUUGGGACUGAGAUACGGCCCAGACUCCUACGGGAGGCAGCAGUGGGGAAUCUUGCGCAAUGGGAGCAAUCCUGACGCAGCGACGCCGUGUGCGGGAGGACGCCUUUCGGGGUGUAAACCGCUGUCGCCACGGAAGAAUUCCGUUCUCAGGCAAUGGAGGACGGUUGACGGUACGUGGGAAGGAAGCACCGGCUAACUCCGUGCCAGCAGCCGCGGUAAUACGGAGGGUGCGAGCGUUGUCCGGAAUCAUUGGGCGUAAAGGGCGCGUAGGCGGCCCUCCAAGUCCUGCUGUGAAAGGCCGGGGCUCAACCCCGCGCAGGGCAGGGGAGACUGGGGGGC
rnacentral:rRNA from 1 species